CCCGCGCUACCCCUACCAGCGCACCUCUAUUCCCAAGAAAAUUCGCGCAGGCGUUUCAAACAAUGCAGACACGAAUGUUAAACAAACUGGCUGCUUGUACAAGGUUGGAAUCAUUCUGGUGUUUCGCGCCCGAUCCUCCCAAAGAGGAGGAUCACCACUUCCGUCGAUUAGAAAUUUGAUUCGAUUAGCAGCGGAAAGCAGAUAAUUCCGCGAUGACGGAAUUAAACGGAGUUUUCGUCAUUUCGAAUCUCCCAUUCUAAUUCUUGAUUAACUAGGAUCAAUUUUUAGAAUUGAUAUUAGAGUUGAAUGAUAUUAUUAUAGAAAGAUUGAUAUAACGAAAUUUUUCAUUAAAGUUUGAAAAUUUUAUAAAAUACUCUCCUUUCGUUCCAUUCCAUCGAUGAUAAUUUUAACAAAGGGAUAAAAGUUAUUUGAUACUUGCAGAAUCUCAUAAUGUAAAAACAGGAUUCUCGCAUUCUUUUGUUGUUUUGUAUCCAUUGAUUUUCACCUGUCAUUCCGACACGAUUUUUAAAUUGACAAGUAAACCUAUAGUACAAAGGCAUAUCACAUUUUAGUCUGCUAGCGUGAAUUUGAUAAUGUGAAUAAUAUAUGCCUUCAAAGUAUCUG